rnacentral:rRNA from 1 species
GACGAACGCUGGCGGCGUGCUUAACACAUGCAAGUCGAGCGGUAAGGCCCUUUCGGGGUACGACGAGCGGCGAACGGGUGAGUAGCACGUGGGUGACCUCGCCCUCAGCUCUGGGAUAAGACCCGGGAAACGUGGGUCUAAUACCGGAUAUGACUCCAUGACGCAUGUUGGUGGGGUAGGAAAGCCUUGUGCGGCUGAGGAUGGGCCCGCGGCCUAUCAGCUUGUUGGUGGGGU